rnacentral:lncRNA from 1 species
GGUAAGCUAAAUUUUGAGAGGAACGCACCAGUUCUUUUUAUUUAAUCUGUUACCACUCCUUGAUAUGAUUUUUGUCCAAGAACUUCUUUCAAUAAGCUAGGCACCUUUGCAAGUGGACUACUAUUGGAAAUAGUCCCUUUCUAUCUGAAAUCUGGUUACUUGGUGAUGAACAGUGAGAUCUGGGGUGGCUGGAUGGUUGACGCGUAGAUCAGGGUGAUAGGAAUAAGCUUUCUAAACUAGAUUCCCUUGAGAGGAUAUGGAUCCAGAGACCAGCGGGUUUUCUUGCGAACAAGUGGUUUUACGUUUAUAAUCGGAGUAAAUGCUUUGAGGAAGAAGAUAAUAAAGAAGAAGAGUAAUGGUCAAUGAGAAAGUUGGAAUAAAUGUUAACCUUGUAUAAGACCCUUAUACCUAUUUUGUUCCCUUAUCCUCCUACUAUCCUUGAGGCACUAGACAAAUUAGUGAUAGGGUCUUUUGUGAGUAACAUUACCCUAUGAUGGAGUGACCAACCCUAGCCAAAAGAGAAACAUCCUCAGGUUCACUCUCUUUUUCUUUAUCCAUUAACUUCUUUUUUUUUUUGUCAGGAUAGCCUGUAGCGCUCUUCUCCCUCAAACUAGAGCUGCCAACUUUGGUUUUCUUAGCAGGAGGCCUUUUUGGAUUCUUUGUUGUUCUGUUCUCCCCAAUUGUAAUCCCUGGAAGAAUUACAGAACCCAUACUAGCCUUUUUGGAAUUUUUUUCUUUGCAAACCUUUGGAAAUGGUCUCAUCCGAAGAUGAUGGCUCAAAGUGGGAUAGUGGACUAUGGGAAGCGCAUCGGUCUAGGCAUACCUCAAUACAGAUGUGGAUGAUACAAUCUUUGCAGGCUGAACAACUGGCCUGUCACCCAGUCACUCUCUGGUGACCUCAUAAUAUAGUUUUCUUAGCCCUAAAAGCCUGAGCAGUCUUGUGGAUAUUCUCACGCGACAUAGAGAAAUUCUUAGGAAUUUGCGUUUUAUGGUAAACAGUUGGCUAAUAAAUGCUUGAGCCGAAUGAGGAGUCAUUUAACUUACUUUUUGGUUUAUGGUGGUAUGGUAGUGACCAUGCUCUUAAGGACAGGGCAUUUAUUGCGUUGCAAAUUAGUAGUACGGUACCUUGAGGUGGUAGUAUUACCGUUCAGGUCGGGCCUUUACUUGGGCCAUGCUAUCCUUGAUCCGCUAGUUCUGGGUCUACUUACUUCCUUUUUCUUUAAAAUAAAGCGGAGUGACAUGUGUCAUGAUCUGAGCAAGGGCGAUAGUUAUAUGUUUAUGUUAUUACUUGGCAGUCUGAGACCUUUGCAGUUGAGUUAUUCUCAUUCUUAAGGAUUUACCAAGAAGAUGUCAAAUGAUGGAUUCUGUUUGUAUGGUGGCGGUUUGAUGUUAAACUUUCAAAAUAAAGUAGUUUUUUUUUUGCUUGGCAUCAUUUAUAUUGUAUACAUGCAGUUUCUUCUGCUUCUAUUUAGAAAGUGAUAUGAUGUUUUUCUAUGCACUCAAGUUUCCUCUACCAUUUUGUCCUCAUGAUACCUUUACCCUGUAGUGAUAAAAAAAAUCUACAAAGUCUUGGCUGGCGUCUAACCUUUGUAAAAUAGUAAACAUAUAUAGGAAUAGUCAAGUCCAAAUGGACUUAAUACAAAUAUAAAAGGGAGAUUUUGCAGGCUGGAGAUGUUCAAAAUUCACAAGAGCUAUUAACAUUUCUGCAACUUCAACAUUUUAAACCAUUAUGAUUUUUUUUUUCCAUUUUUCCUACUUUUUGAUUGUGUGGUUUGCACC